GCUUUCAAAGAUGCUUUCACUCAGUUCGAGUUAUAGUUAGUUACAAGUAGAUUGUUAACCCAUUGCAUGGUUAAUAAAUAGUUGUACAUUGAAUAAAAUUGUUGCAAUGACUCUAAUUAUAUUAAUUUGUGAAAUUUUCUCUAUGGUAAUUUGCACCAAAGUUAUCAAUUCCGAAACGACCAAUCUACUAUUUUGGCUAUUGAUAUAAUAUGUAUCGGUAUCGGUGUAUAUUAGUGUAUCAUUUUAGAUUUAGUGCUACAUAAACUAUAAACAUUUCACAUGUAUUUUUUUGAAGUUAAUAAAUUAUAAACAUGACAUUAGUCACAUAUCACAAAAUUGAAGAUAAUUCAAAUAAAAAAUUAUAAAACUAAUGUGAAAAGAUUUUUAUAAAAUUCCUUUAGCUUCAAGAUUUACUAAAAAAAUCCUUUUAAAACUCUAAUAUUUGUGAAACAAAUAAUGCGAUUUGUGUACUAAAUGAAUUAUGAAAGCUUGUUAGUAUAGGCCGAUACAAAUUGAUAUUUUGAGUAAAAUAGAAUAUAGAGUUGUAUGUUCUUUUUUUUUUUUUGAGAAUAUGGUAAGCUAGUCUGAUGUGUACUUUUACGGUCUAAAAAGUAAUCUAAAAAUUACCGUAUAAUCACAACUCGUAUAGAGGAGUAGUUAUGUUGGGUUUAUCGUUCUUAUGGAUCAAUAGACUAAGCUAAACUAUUUUCUAAACUAUUUUAAUUUAAUUCAAAGAAAGAACGAGACUUUGUUUGAAAUUUUUUUUUUUGUUAUACUAAUUAAACUAAAAACAGAAUUUGAAUGAAUAUUAUAAAAAGAUGAGAAAGAGAUCCUAGAAUUUUCGAAUCCACCCUAGACAAGUAAAUUUAGUUUUAUAAUAAUUUAGGUUUUCAUUAGUUGAUUUACUAAAUAUCUGUGUGGCUACAAGCGCACAACGGUAUCACCAAGAAGAUAGUGAAAUUACUCCUGGUAUAGAUUAUGUAAAAAGCACGAAUCGUCAUAGAGCACGAUCCGUCUAUUUACUAUAAUCUAACACAAUUAUGUAAAAUCACAAGUUGAUAACUGUAGGAGUGAGUUUAUAAUGCGGAAAUCGAAAGCAGACACCAGCGAGAUCGUCCUUCCCUUUGGCUUCUAUCAGGGUGCACCAAGCUUGAUGACUUCCUUUAAUAACUGCACACUGACAACAGUAAGUCCGGCCGCCGGAGUUGUUUUCGGGAAACGACUCUCUGACGGUUAAGUUAGAUGACCUGAAAGCUCAACUCAGUAACUAUGAGUUCCCAGAGAACCAGAGAAAAGAAGAGCUCUUCAGCGUUCUAGAAGAAGAAGAAGGAGAAAGAAGAAAAAAGCCCCUCACCUCUACAGUGGCUUCUGCUUAUAUAGUUUACCUUGGCGCGUGUUCUGACGUGCCAACGGGUGACUUGGCUACCGGGCAGUUCACCUAAUCUUCACUUCUGUAGAGGGGUUGGUCGUCCUCCCUGCUACCAUGAGUUUCCACGCCCGGAUUUGGGCUGAGAACCGUGACCGUGUCGUGCAAGCAUCACUAUGUUGCGUGUCAUCCGUCGGGGUUCCCGCCAAUCUCUGGGUGUAAACCGCGCUGUGGCGUGACUGUUGUCGCGGCUUUCAAAUAGUCGAGAGUUAUUCCCGAGCUCGGGUAGGGUCCAUCCCUAUACUUAUACCGAGCUCGGACUCACUGUGUAAUAUUGUUUCUACAAUACAAGUCAGCAUGGGGAAAAUAAUCCUUGUAUAGGGGUAAACGCUCUCUGGCUUCGUCUCCCUAUGCCUUCUUGUGGCUGGGUACUCUAUUCGCAUGUUUCGUGUCCCUACAGUAGCCCCUAGUUCGCGUGAGCUCGGCCGUGGCUCGCCGAGGUUAUGCGAGCUGGAUGCUCAGGCUUCGUACUCCCAACUUCGUUUUUGCUCGCCAUGCCGAGCAUUCCAGUUGUACGGGGAGUAGCUCGGCUUCUCCGCCUUGGGUUUGUUCCCGUAGGUGCUGUCGUAGGGAUGCCACCUGUCAGUGAUCCAUUGGAUUCGUCACGAUGGUUCGCUCGCGAAACGAUGCACCCUAGUGCCGCGUUUGGCUCAAUUCUCUCCUCUUCGACUUUCUUUUUAGGGCACCCCAUUUCUCCACUCUCUUUGGCAUUGUAGCAGUUUCUGGAGAGAAAAAGAUUGUAGCUGUGCGCCCUUCGCUUCUUUGGCCAUUUCUUUUUUCGGCGACCGUGGUUCCAUUAUUACACACUGGAGGAGCAUCCCUAUCCGAUACGGUAAGUCGCUAUUUCUCCAUGCUUCCUUCGUACAUUCGCUUUGAGCGCCAUGAGAAUAGUCAAAUCUCUAGCGCGGUCCGAUGUCUUACAAAUUAUUGGAUAGGGUCUGGGUCAAAUCUGGCCGACGUGAUUAGGGUUACCUCCAUAAACUAGAUUAAACCUCGUUCCUCAGGACGCUUUAGGCCCGUUCUGACCAUCUGCCUCCACUUUCAGGACAUGGCAUUGAAUCGGGCUCAAAUGCUUGUUCGCGAUAGUGAGGCCUUAGCUCAAUUCUGUGUCGACCAUACGAUUCCUGAUGUUGUAGUGAUAGAGCGCCCGAGUCCGAAUGACGACGCGGAUUGGGUGGAAGGAGAGGGUAAUCGGAUGCCCAUCAGGACUUGGUUCAUUUACCAAGCCGGGCUUCAAUUUUCCCUUAGUAAGCUUUUGAGAACCGUUCUCUCUAUCUGCGGGCUCACUUUCAUGCAAAUCUCUAUGAACUUUGUCCGAACCGUGCUGGCGGUCGAGGCCUUGAUGCAGAGAGAAGGAUUAGAGUUUAUUUCUGAGGAUCUGUUUCACGUGUAUUGUGUGGUCAAGCCUAGGAAAAAUCCCGAGACCCAGAUGCUUGAAGGUAAUCACUACCUUCGCCUUAGGAAGCCCAAUCAGCCUCAGACGAGGUUAGUUACGGAUUCCCUAGACAAAGAUUAGUAUUUCAACGACUUUAUUUGGGUCUCGGGUCAAUGGGAAUUCCCUGCUGACGAACCUGACCUUUUCUCCGUUCCUAGGCAUAGGGUUACGUCCCUAUAGGUGAGAAUCAGCAUGCUUCCGCUUGCGACACAUUUUAUCGACUCGAUUAUGCUAUAUAAGAACUAACUGAAUAUUUAAUCUGGUUCGCUUUUGCAGGAUUCAACAGAUGCUUUUGGAGGAGGAGUGAUCGGUGUUCGGCUGCAAUUAGCGCUGUGAAUAAUUGUGGGCGCUCCCGCAGAGUCUCCGAUCUACUCAGUUACGUCCCCUUAUACUGGUAUACCAUCCCUCUUCAAGCCGCUCGUUAGUGGCGUCCCGUUCUUCCACCUCUCUAGAUCCGCAGACCAGGUUCAAGGCUAAAUAGCUCACUAUCUGACGAGGUCAGUGAUUUAUUUGAAGGGACCUUGGCCGAGCUCCGAAGGCUGUUAGAAGAGGCCAAAGGCGAAAGUUCUGGCUCCAGCGAGUCGAGCUCUUCCAAUUGGGACAUCGAUUUGGGCGACGAGGCCCUGAACGAAGAGGCCGAGGUUGAAGACGGCAAAGAGGUUGACCAAGUUCCUGUUGCGGUUCCUUUGGUUCCAGCUCCCUUAGUCCUGGUCCCAGAACCUAUAAAUCUCCCGAGCUCCGAUUCUGACAUCGCCAUCGUCAAACCGAGGGAGAUUGUUGAGCAUUCCUACUCUCACAGCGGCAGUCCAUCUUCUGGGUCUCAAGUGAACGUGGAGAUCAUGGCCCCUAAGGUGAGGAUUCUGGGGAAGGGGCAAGCCCCGAUAAUUGAGCCCCCCACACUCCUUGAGGCCCCCGUUUUGUCCACACCAGCUCCGGUUGAAGAUCAGUCCAUCGCGCCGUUCUUGAUGGGUGACAAACGGAAAGGGAAACAGCCUGCAGAGGGAACCUCUCGACCCAAAAGGGGAAAAGGUGCUGGAUCGGCCGUUGGCACCCCCAAGCUAUGGGCCCCCCAAUUUGCCGCUGUGGAGCUCGGCAAACAGGUUACCUUUGCGGAUACUUCUAAGGACCAUGAGACCUACGUUGCGCUGGGCAAUGCGGUGAUGCUCCCCCAAGACGUCGCGGAUCAUGUUGCUGAAACCUCGACAGAAUUCGGGGGCAAGCUCGUUAUACUGGGGGCCCAGGUUAGGACUUCCAUGUUACCAAAUUUUUAUUUUGAUUAGCGAAUCCGACCCACGCUGUUCUUCUUUAAUCCAUCUCUUUUUUCUUUCUUAGUUAUUUCAGCGAGCUGUAUCUUCCUCACUUUGGCUAAAGUAGGGUGCGGUGAAUCUGAAGAAAGCGAACCAGAAGGCGAACAACCUCGAGAAGGAGCUGAAGGCGUUCUCUUGUGGUGAAGUGUACAAGAAGCUGUUCGACCGCGCUUUCGAGUGGGCUGGAGACAUGUACGAAAGGCAGCUAGCCGAGCUCCGCCCCGGCGUUUUUCAGGAAGGAUGGCUCGCCUGUUUGAAAGAGCUGCAGAUCCCACUUGAUUAUCCCGCGUGGUCGUCUCCUGCCCCUCCAGUUCAACUCCCUGCCUCUUCGGAACGAUAUUCACCAAUCAACCUUCCCGACUUCAACGAAGAGGAGUAUGCGACCCUACCUGCUAAUGAGGGAAAUAUCAACACUACGGUAGUGGAAGCUCAUACAGGGGUCGCGAAGACUGCUGAUAGAGACCGAGUUGGGGAGGCAGAAGGUGACCGAGAUGUAGAAGCCGAGGGUGAAAACCGCGUUUAGAAACAAUUCCUUUGAAUGGUUUCUUCUGCUUCUGUUGAGUCUUAAUCUUGUUGACUUUUGUAAUAUAUAUAUUUUUUUGAACAAGACUUUGAACAAUUAUUCACUAUGCAUUUCGGUCCGACUGUUUUUGCCAUUUCCUACGUGCUUUGAUCUCAGUUUGUGACUUCAUUUCUUGUUAAGGACGAUCUUCUUCGAGUCUUUGCACAAUGCUGACUCCAACUCAGCCAGAUUCAUAAGCACGCUUCGCAUUCCCGCGCGUGAAUUGCGUUGGACUCGCAACAUGUCAAAUAACGAUUCGUAACUAGGCUC
rnacentral:lncRNA from 1 species